rnacentral:rRNA from 1 species
GAUGAACGCUGGCGGCGUGCCUAAUACAUGCAAGUCGAGCGAACAGACGAGGACCUUGCUCCUCUGACGUUAGCCGCGGACGGGUGAGUCACACGUGGAUAAUCUACUUAUAAGACUGGGAUAACUUCGGGAAUCCGGAGCUAAUCCCGGAUAAUCUAUUGAACCGCAUGGUUCAAUAGUGAAAGACGGUUUUGCUUGCACUUAUAGAUUGAUCCGCGCUGCGUGAGCUAGUUGCUUAGGUAAAGGCUUACCGAGGGGACGCGGCGUAGCCGGCCUGCGAGGGUGAUCCGGCACACUGGGGCUGAGGCACGGUCUAGACUCCUGCGAGAGGCAACAGUAGGGCAUCUUGCAGAAUGGGCGAAAACUUGACGGUGCGAGGGCGCGUGAGUGAUGGAGGUCUCGUGAUCGAUAAAGUCUGUCGGGAGGGAAGAACCAAUCGGUAGGGAAGAAGGCUCGUUGUGACGGUACCUAGUCAGAAAGCAACGGCUAACUACGUG